AGUCGGCGAUUAUUUCAUUUUGUCUACGGCGAUGGGGUAGCUUCCUCUGCUCCGUUCGUGUGUUUGACGUUUGUUCUUCUUCCAUCCUCUUCUGUCCUUUCGCUCGUCACAUUAUUCUUUCGACUUGUCCUUAGAUUUUUUUUCUCUACAGUUUUUGUGCUGUUUCUUUUGACAAGAUGUAUUUUUUAGUGACACUUUUCUGAGUGCGGCGUUUCGGUGCCCGGGUGCAUCUGCACCCGUUCAAAAAAAAUUCGUAAAACAUUCAGAAAAAUUCAAAAAAUUCCGAAAAAAAUUGAGGUGGUGGACAAUUUGAUGCGUGAGGUGCGCCCCAAUUUUCAAAACAUUUGGACUUAUGUGCAGCUCUCAGCAAAAAAGACAAAUCAGACCAAAACAGUAUAUGAACAGUACACAUUUUUACAGACCUCCGAUUUGUCUUUUUUGCUGAGAGCUGCACAUAAGUCCAAAUGUUUUGAAAAUUAGGGCGCACCUCACGCAUCAAAUUGUCCACCACCCCAAUUUUUUUCGGAAUUUUUUGAAUUGUUUUAGUAUUUAUUUUGAUUUUUUUGGUGAGCGCAGGUGCAGAUGAGCUCGGGCUCAGAUUUGGAUUUUCGCACUUUUCUAGAGAUUCUUCAUGUUAUCUUUAUGCUGGGCCUCAUAUAUGUUCAUGGUCAACUUGUGUCCAGAUUUCAGAGUAGUGUGGUAUAUUAUGAUUGUAGAGGUGAUCUCACCUACGCAUACCCUUUUUGGAUACAUCGUUACAGCUUGUUACAUUGUUCUCUGUUUCUAGAUGUCUGCAUAGUUUAUUUCCACUGGCUUAACUUGCAUUAACCCUAUUGUGGUAUAACAUCUUUGCCUGCUACCCCCAGCAAAAUUAUUCAAUGAGUCAAUACCAUCAAUAUGUGUGGUUAUAGAUUUAUUUCAUAAUGAUAAUCUAAAAUCGGGGACCUCCUAUAAUUGCCAGAUAGGUUCCGCACCACGUAUAAAAUGUACAUUACUCGGCAAGCAUGUUUAUUCAGUUCUUUCAGGAUGUAACAUGUGCUAUAGGUUGAUCGAUAUACAGUAAUGGGGGCAGGAUUCAUUGAACUUGCAUGUUCAGGAGGGCCCGUUAGAGAGAAAAAAUAUAUAAAAAAGCACUGUUUAUAGGAAAUUUAGGAGCAAAUCACUGAUUAGGGGGGCAGGUCCCCUGCCGACCCCCGUCUGCGCCACUGCCAAAAUAGAUACCAAUCUUGCAUUCUUUUUGCACAUGGACAACAAGUAAUCAUAUUUUUCAUGUCCCUGCCAAUCAGUUUUUUUAUUAGAUAGCAAUUAAAUGUUGAGAAGUAUAUGUGCUGAUUACUGGCUCAACAAAUUGGUUGCUAUAUAUUGACUGUAAGUCUCUUUUCUCAGGGACAACGUACUGGUCUGAAGGAAAGCCUUUUUUAUUUUUCAAGAUGAUGAACUGCAUUAUUUCUGGUCCUACUCUGCCUCUCAAUCAUUUCUUUAAACCAAGUUGAUGACCGAGCAAAUGCACUUCACAGAAGGAGAACGGACAGCCUUAGAUAACAUUGACUGUUCUUUUUGGAGCUCCUACAAAAUGAAGACAUCAUUAAAUCAAUCGUUGUUUUGUUCGACGUUGAAGAUGUCAGCUAAGAGGAUUUUGAGUACUAUUCUGCUCAUUCCAAAAGUAUGCAAGCCACACGAGGAGUGAUAUGAGAAAGAUGCUCUCAAACCGGAUCUCGGUAGUGAGAUGCAUGGAAGAGGAAAUCUAAGAUUAACCUAAACAAAAACUGCAUGUAGUGUAUAACGACUGCGACUGUCCAAGAUUGCAGUCUCUUCCAGAAUUUCAAUUGGUAAAAGCUCAUCCAUAAGAAAUGUGUAGCAGGGUAAAAGUCUGAUAUCUAUUGGUGAGCAGGCACUUUAUUUAUGAAGCAGAGAAAGCGAUCUAGCAUUUUAUUUGUGAAGAAGAGAAAGUGUAAGAAGGCAAGUGAGGUAUAUGUGCUCAAAAAGACACGCCAUCAAAUGUUUCCAUGUUAUUGCUGAACAUUUUUUGGUCUUUAUCCAACUGGUUUUUAUCAUAUCAAAUUACUGCAGAGCGUACUGAUUUUUUUGUCACCUAGCAACGGUGCCUUUCAGUUCAACUAGCAGUUUAAACCUCUGAAGGUUUAAGGUGAACAAUGAGAUAUUUUUGGGUUUGUUUGAACUGUUGUGUCUGUCCACUUGAGUGCCUCCAUAUGUGGUUCUCCUGUUGCAUUAGUUAUAUUUUUAU
rnacentral:lncRNA from 1 species